UCACUAUGCUUUUGAGGCUCCUCCUGGCUUUUUUAUCACGUUGUCAUCAUUAGUGACUAGAGUUAAUAAUUUGUAUUGUCUGAGAGUGCUGGAGGAAAGAUUUGGCAGAGCAGUGUGAUUCACUCUAAGGAGAAAUUUGGCCAGCAAGUCAUUAAAACACACACACCACACAGCAAAACAUGUGAUGAACCCAGAGCCAAGUAUCUCUAGAGGAUGUGCAAAUAACAAGUAAUGGAGAAUCAAUUAAAUGACAGCUGGCCCGUCAGAGUUAAACAACUGAGAAAAGGAAGUUGCCUACAAUUCACAGCAAAGCACAUGAUGAAACAGCAGCACACUCAUGACUUCUGGAAUCACUGAGCGGGUAAUUCAGCCUUUUCAAGCUGCAGUGGUGAAUCACCAAGUGUUUUUCUGGGUGUGAGCCUUCAGGGACAACACUGGCUGGAAUGGAAGAGACCUCGACAACAAGCACAGAUGUGGGGCAUUCCUAAAGCAGAAAGGCAGCAGGUCAAAGGACACAGCUAGGAUUUACUUGUGGCUGUAAUUAAAGAACCAUUCGUCAGGCCUCAAGAAUGCAGAUCCAUUACAUGUCUCAGACUAGAUAGGUGCUGUUAGCAAAUGAUAAUUACAUAUGCUACCUUCAAUAGAAAAAUAAUUCAAACUGGAAUGUAACCAAGUUGUAAAGGCAGCAGUGACUGGUAAGAACAACCAGUUGAUUUUAAUUUCUUUGCUAUUCCUAUAGGUGAGACAUUCAGCUUUUGUUUUGAAGGCCUACGAUCAAGAUUAGUUUUGUUGCAGCAUCAUUAAAAUCAAAGGAGCAGCAUUCAGGAUAGACUUGGUUGUCUGUGUGAUCACAGAAUGGUGAUCAAAGAAUUAUUAAAACUAUAAUAUUUGAACAAAAUGCUAAGAAAUUGUAACAUGCUCCAACAUCUCUGAAGUGAAUACAAGCUUGUGACUGCACAGUAAGUGUGCAUAUCUGUGUAUCUUUGUAUUCAUUAACUCUCCAUGCUAAUCUAUAGAAUAGGUUACCUUGUAAUAUUUUAAGGACCUUCAAAAUUAAGUUGUUGAAAAAGCAAAUGAACAGAGCCAAGCUGAACAGCUGGCACAUCAACAGUGCUCCUGAGCUCCAGAAGAACAGGCAUCCCUAUAGAAAGCAGGCAGAGGAAUUGCUCCCUGGCUGAUUCUUUGUUUCCUGCUGAACUUUGAUUUAUUUAGGAGUCUCCAGAGCACCAAGGCAUGAAUGCACUCCUUGGACACAUCUCUUUGCUAUAGUACUCCUUAAUUGUGGUGGCAGCCAGUGCCUGGUAGGCUUCAUUGCUGUAAAGGAGGGCUCGAUUCUCAUGAAUUUCCACGACUUUGCAGCUGACAGAAGCUCCUGUUGUCUGGGCAGAGCUGCCAUCAUGCAGCAUGCCAGCUCUAUCACGAGGGACGUCCAAGUUUGAAGGACAGUGAAGGGAAACUGUGUUCAAGCUUCAGAAAUCACUGCUGCCAUUCACUGUUACAGGAAUUGUAAGAAGUCAGAAAAUACAGAAUUUAUCCCUACAUACCUCCCAAGCAACCGUGUAGGAGGGGCCACAGACAGCAGCCAGUCUAACUCUUGAAGCCUUCUGCAAAACUGAUUGUUUUAAAGGGCAAUCAAUUUCAAUUGUGUAAAAAAGAUCUCUCUCUCUGCCUUUUGAAGGGCAAUGGCUACCUGCUCAUUAUACUGAAACCUGCUCCCACCACUGAAGAGAAUCCUUUGGCCCAGCAACAUACAAAGCUUGAUCCAAAGCUUCUCCAUGGUCAGUAAAGGCCUGCGUGUCGGGAAGACCGCAAUCAUUUUUAAUGAUGACAAGUUGUAAUUAAGUAGUACAUUAUCCUCCACCUUGUGAAAUUCUCUUUAAAUAUUUUCUUCUUGUGCCCAACGUGUCAUUUACAUUAAUUAACGCUUUUCUCUUUGUGAAAUUACACAGUGCAGUGCAGCCCCUGUAUGUGAACCAAGAUUUUCUGGGAUAAAAUUAAUGAGAUUUUCCAGUGUAAGUAUAAAUCAUGCAAGAUAUUUUUGGCUGCAAAAAGGUCCACAUAAUGUUUAGGCUUUAGAAAUCAAGAUGUAGAGUGUACACCUGGGUAUGGUUUAGGAGUACUCGAGCAGUGUCAGUAUAGUAACUGAACAGAGUCAGCUCAAGGAUUCCUUUCCUCACCAGCCUCUAACCAGUGUAACAUAACAAGCCCCAAACAACUCUAUUUAUGAAAUCAUAAAAAAACGGAAAAUGAGACAUAAAAGAAAAUGCAAAGAGGCAGCGUGCAACUUCCUGAAGCUUGAGAAAACUUAAGAAGUGUUAUUUAGUCUUGACCAGCUAUUUAAGCAUAAGAAGAGAUUUUCUGCAGUCAGAAAUUCUCCCAGGUUUGGUAAAUCUCAACAUAUACAUUCCAGCUCAGGCAAAGCCAGAAGUGUUUGCAGCGUGGCAGAAGGUUUUCCUGAUGAAAAAGUAGCAUUUAUUUCACAAAUAUAAUAUUGCUUUGUUUUAGUCUUGUAUAGAACAAAAACCAGGCUGAGUUUUAAAAGCCUCCUUAAGAAAUUAUUACUGUAAUAUUGUAAACGUCCUUCCUUUGCACUUGAGGACAGGGAAAAUAGCAUGGGGAGGCUGACUUUGCCCUCAUGUGAUUCUCCUUCUCUUAGAUGAUCCAAGAUCAAAAAGUACUGCCUCCUACCCUGGUACCUGCCCUAGCAUUUUCAGUGACAAGAGAGGACCUGGGAGUGUAGUCUGUGUGGAGACAAGCUAUUUGUCAAAAGAGGUGGCUGGAAGGGUGGAGCUGAUACAGGGCUCGUUAUGCAUGUGCUACAGUUCCAUGGUUAAGCCACUCUUCAUCUUGCAGCACUUGGAAUUUAACAGUCAAUUUCACAAUAUUUUUUGCCCAUUUUGAAAUUCUGCAGUCCUCAAUAAUAUGAUUUUUUUUUGUUUGGAAAGUGAAUCAAUCCAUCAGCAUCAUAAAAUAUUACGUAUUCCUACCGUGCAUUAGAAUAUGUUUCCUUCAAAGACCUGGCUAAUGAUUUUCCUAGGUCAGAACUAGAGACUCUGAUUCAGAGGUAGACUCCCUGCAGCCCUAUUUCCACGUGUUCAAUCCAAGCAUUCUAGUCCACUGACAUCUGUACUGACAUCUGGAUGCUGGACAGCAAGAAGUGGUAUGUGGGACCAGCUCCUCCACCCAAUGGAACUACAAAUGUCACGGAGAAAAGACUGCACAGACUGAAUUUUGAUUCCCUACAUGGGAUCUGCAAUUUUGGGUGAUGCUUAAGGAAAUCUGGCUCCUUCUUUUCUGCUAAGAUUUUGCCCUGACUCAGACUUCAGCCAAACAAGAACUGGCCCAAGUAGCCAGAGAUAGAGAAGAUGAAUUUAAGAUACAAGAAGAUGGAAUACAUGAGGAAUACAAUGAAGCCAACUCGUAAGGACAGCAAAUAUGCAAGGUCAGUUAUUUUUGAAACUAAAUCUGCUGGUUAUUGAAGAUACCUGAAGAAGGCCUGCUGCCAGGGAAGCUAAGGGAGCGGGCCUCUGAAUGAAGGAAGCACGUCUUCCUAUCACACGCAGGGAACAGCUUUGGAUCCCGGAGGAACAGCCCUUCAGCUGAAGUUCCUCUCUGCCUGUUCAUCAUCCUCUCCCAGAUCACGUGACUGAGAGUCUGGAGAGUUCAAUCCUAUAAAUCAUCUGACCUUGAGGAUAAGCCUGCCAUUACAGCUGCUUUUGCACAAGGAUGCUUCAAAGCAGCUGCAGCCUGAAAAAAGCCCCAAACGGUUGCUGCCAGCUAGGUCAGAGCCGCUGUUCAGCAGGGAUCACUGGGGACUGCAGGCACAGGGUCAGCACUGGCAGAGGUGGCCUGAAGGUGAGGCCAUGGGUGGGCUUCCACAUCCUGGAUAAAGCAGCUCAACAGACUGGAAAUCCAGAAACACUAGCAUGAGGGAGAGCCUUGAUUUUGGUCAGUGUUGCAGCUGGAGCACCAACACGGGGCAGUGUUCGUAACAAGGGCUUGACUGGCAUGCACAGCAACAUGCAACCAAUUCAACAAUUAAAGCAAUAUUAUGGGGAAAACUCCUGCUAUCUGGAAAUGAAAUGAGCAAAUACAUUUCUUCAGCCUGAAGUCCCCAACAUACCUUGAUAAGGGCAAAAAGAAGUGAUAUUUUUAGUUUUGAAAGGGGGACAGCCAGGCAGAGAGCUUGCAGUUGUACUGCUCACAAGUAUCUGUUCAAACUGUGGGGGGAAAAGGGGUAAAUAUUAGCAGGUUUUCUGCUUCACUGCACUGUGAUCAAGGCUUAGUUUUUUUGUGUGUUUUUUGUUCUUUUGAAUGUCAGAUUCCAGUCCCAUUUCCUAUUUCAUUUGUUAUGAUAACUUUAAAAGAGUAUCCUUUCAAUUUAAUUCUUCUACAUCGUUGUCUAUAGCAGCAGUAUUUUAAAUCUUGGACUGAUGUAGCAAUGAUUGGCAAAAGGCAGCAAGCUCACUAUGAAGAGCCCCUUCAGGAUAAACCCUUCACUGCAGACAAACCAAAUGAUGUCAUGUGGUGGAAAAAAAGGGACAUCUCACAGGUAAUCACAUUGCUGUGAGGUAAUUAAAGUUCAUCUGCUAGUUGGAUGAGAUAGGGCUUUUUUAUAUCUUCACUGACUAUUGCUUGUGUCAAGACCAGCUGUGUUCAGUCUUCCUUUUUCCAAACAACAAAAAGGAGUAGAGCUCAGAAUAAUAAAAAAAAAGGCUUUGUGUGGCUAACCACAAACAAGACACAUGACUGAGUGCUGUAUCUGUUACAUCUCUCUCAAGUUGGAAAACUUUGAACUAGGCUAUUCUGUAAACUUAAAGGGGAAGUCUCAAUUCACAGAAUGCAUUUCUUGCUCCCUACUGAAUUAAGUUUUAGAUUUUACUACUUGUCCCCCAGAUUCAGAAAAUCUGCACUUUGGAAAGGAAGCUGCAGAAUUUUUCUCUGUCUGCUUUCUUUAACCUCUGUGCAGAAGUCAGAUUUCCUGGAAAUUUUUGCAGAUUUUUGGACAGCUGCCCUUACAGGAGAAAUAAAACCACCCCUAAGGCUGCUUUUGGUAAUUCAAUGAAGAGAACUAUCAGCUAGUGUGAACGAAGAUAUGAAAUGCUUACAUCCCAAAGGUAUCUUUUUUUUUUUAGCUCUGGUAAUGAAUGAAAUGCUUGCGUAGACUUGGUAGUAAUAGCGGAUUGUCAAAAGGAUUUUACAACUCCUGUAAGGAGUCUUGGAACUGUUAAAUAUAAGCUCAGCACUCCUCCUAAUGAAUUGUCCAAAGUGAAAUGCUUUUUAUUUUUUUUUAAAUCUAGAUUUGAGUCAGUACUUAUAAACAAUUUCUCAGAUACUUAAAAUUUUCUGACCAGCCCACAGUCGCAUAAUUCCUCAGUAGCAAUGCAAGGUAUGCAGACUACAAAGCCUGCUUUGUAGACGAUCAUCUUGCCAGAGGCUUUGCUUUUUUCUUCUGUUGUACAGUAUUAUCUCCUUACUAGGGUAGCAUGGCUUUUAUUGGCUAUGACUUUAAGAUACAAAGUAUGGUAAAAAGGAACCUCAGGAUUCCAAGUUCAUUUUUCAAGAUAGGAAAAACUAUAUAAAAGGAGUACAUCUAGUUACACAAUAAUGAAAUUCUCGAAAGCUACUACUUUUUUCUUUAUUCCUUUUUGAGUUUGUCUGGGCUAGAUUAUGAAUUGGAGAACUAACAUGGGUUGACAUGAGAAAGAAACUUACAUGGACUGGAAAGAGGCUUCACAACUCUUUCUCUAGAGAGACAAAUAGUCACAGAUUCUAGACAUUUUUCCCUGCUAAAGAAAGCACAGAUGAACAAUAGCUCCUAGAAAUUGUUACUUUGCAUUUGCUUUGUUCUUGGCCUAUGUGCAUUUAAUGUGCAUGUGAAUCCUGGGAGGUAGAUUGCUCUAGAAUUUCUUUCUAUGGAGCACUUUAAUUGUCUAGUAUUUCUAAAGGAAAUAGCAGUCACGGAGCGAUUUAAGGGGUAAUGGACAAUAGGGCCUGGUUCAAUCUUUUGGUCAUCUUACCAUAAAAAUGCCACAGUACUGCAUGUGCUGUGCAUGGGAACAUAGCCAGCCAGUGUGCCACACAAUCAUGGGUGCCACUGCUCCCACCGUGAUAGCUCAAAUCCCAGAAGAAGAGGGCUCAAAUCCCUAAUGUUAGCCCUAUAACCCUCUGCAGCUUUCUUCUCUAUCUGUAUCUUCAAGACAACUAGCAAUCAGAAGGAAAUUUGGGUUUUAUCCUCAGCUUUUUAAAGGAUCUCGUGUAUGUGCACAGUCAGCUGGAGAACAAAGAGCAACUCCAUCAUUCUCCAGAACUCUUGCAUCACAGCAGGAGAAAAUGGAAAUAAGCCACAGGCAUUCAGCACUCCUGACAGACAGAGCCAGCAGUGGUGAGAAUCAAUAGUGCUGAUGGUGCCUCAUUUUUGCUGAAGUCAGAAAACAGCAUAUUUGGAAAUAGUGUACUUGUACUUCUUGAAUAUCUCAACUAAAGCAUAUUCAGGUUUUCAAAAAAGAAGAGUUCAAAACCUAUUGAGCAUAGCAGUCAUUGCACUGAGACCCAAAUGAAUACAAAAUAUUAAGAAAAAUCCAAAUGCAGGCCAAUAGAAGUGUACGAAAUGCACGUACAGCAGUAUAUAUAUACAUGGUAUGCUAACAAUCAGUGGACAGGCCUCAAAGGAACAUAAAAAUUCAGAAUGAUACUUGUGUCAGGUGGUUCACGUUAUCUGUUCCAUUCCUUAAACAAAAAAGCCUGGGUUUUUAAAUAUCAUGUAUUUCAAAGCCUAUUCUAUGUAACCAGCUUUAAAAAAAAUAAAACAAAAACAGCUCUCCGUGUCCAACAGCAUAUUGCAAAACCAUUUUGUUUCCCAUCCUUUUAAUUUCUUUCUUUUUUUUUUUUUUUUCUUUUUUUCAGGGUAUCCUUCUUUACCUCUUUAGCAGUCACCGAUUGUUUUCAUGGGUUUUUGAAAAAGAAAAUUGAAUCCAGGAAGUCCAGCACCAGCAUGAUUUAAAACUGUUGACUUUUACAAAAAUGUGUUAAAAAACCCCACAUCCCUCAGAGCACAGAAUUUUAGCUUAGCACAGCACUUUCCCCCAGUGUAAAGAAAACAAUGCAUUCAUACGCAACACAAAGCCAGUUUUAGCUGUGUAUUUAUUAAAAAUAUCAUGAUGUCAAAUCAGGACUUAUUAGAAAAAUAACAACAUAGUAUGUCAGGGUUCAGAUAAUGGCAGUGUUUCAUUGCCAGCUCUAAGGAUACAAAACCCUGAAGUCCAAAGCAAAUGUACAAAGUACAGGUUUUCUCAGAACUGCUUAUUCAGGGACGAUUUCUGAGAAUGAAAAACUGAAAGGAAUUUUGGUGCAAUUCUGGGUACAUUUUUCUAUAGCAGCUUUUCAAGCUGGGGAAGUCUUACCCUAACAUUCUACCGUAUUUCAAGAUAGGCUAGUUUCAUAGUGACCUUCCAGCCCCAGGUGCAGAGUACUGUUUAAAAGGAUCUGCCACAGAGAGUUCCAACUAAAUGAGUUUGGGACCUUUAUGCUCAAAGACUCAGACCAUAAUAUAAAGGAAAAUAAUAACAUCUUUCCUUGGAAUGUUUCAAUAGGUAUUUUUUUCAUAUGAAAUUUGCAGAUGAUGGCACAUUGUACAGAGGUAUGCAUACUGUUUCCAGCUGCUCUCCUGUUGCCUGCGCUCUCUGUGCAGCUAACCUUAGGUUUCAUGUAUAAGGCUACUUCUAUUAUUUUCUGUCCAAUUUUGGAGAGGGAAGGACAGAGGAAAUAGGACAAAGCAAUAUUUAAUUCAUAUUGCUAUCUGGCAAACAAGAAAUUGUGUUAACUCCUGUUUAAAGAAACUCUGGUCAGCUGGGAAGAAACACAAUGCCUGAAGAACCUGUUGGGGAGUUACGUGAAAACAUGCAUGCAUGGCUUCUGAAGAUAAAGAAUACCCUACUGUCAUUUUUUAUCUCCAAGUUAAGCCAUUAAACACUUCAUUUGAAGGCUUCAGAAAAUGGAAAACUGUGCCCAUUUUUAUUUAAACAUGAAGCAUAUCAGGUGAUGAAGUUACACAUGAUGAUUAAAAAAGGAGCAGAAGAAGUAUGAAAUUUCUUUGUAAUUAAUUAACCCCUUGUCAUUGUUAGGUUUUCAUGAUCAAUUAGUAGUUAUAAUUGGUUUUCAUUCUGUAGCUAACAGCACAGAACAUGGAGCUAACCUUGUUCACAUCUCAUCGAUAGCCUCUCAACGAGGAAGGAAGAAAAAUCACUGCUCACUUCAUAAAACACUUCUGAAAAUGAAGGCCUGGGACAACAUGCUCCCAGUACGUCUCUUACUGAGAUUUUGACACUUAUGUGUUUGACAUUCUGCUGUUCCAUUUGCAAAGUUGAUGAAAGGUAAUUAAAUUGUUCAAUGAAAUGAAUACUGAAAAAUUCAGUAAGAAUAGCCUUUAUUGCUAACUCAUCAAUGCACAGGGAUGACCCAGGAAAGAUGGGUGAUACUGAAGAAUUGGUAAAUUCCCAUGCAUUAUCUGAGUAGUGCUAAGAGCAGAACCUGCUAGCAGGGAGAAAUCCAAGGUGCUCCAACUCAAGGCAUGUGCCUGAGGACAGCAGCUUAGAGACAUGCAAGUCAUAGUUCUUCCCCUGGAUGGUUUUCUGCAUGAAGGUUAUCUAAAUAACACUGUUCUGUUGUUUUUUUUUAUCGUUCCCCUCCAGGCUUGCUGAAGUCAGCACAGCCUUGUAUGACAAGGACUGACUUUCAGUUGAUGGUGAAACUACAGGCAGGCCUUGCCCAGCAGAGAACAAUUUUUGGCAAAUAUCCUUUCCCAGAGUUCAUCUUUAAUUUUAAAACUUGCAUAGCACUUGGUGGGAGCUUUUCACUUGAUUAUGGUCUACAACAGAUCUCAACGAACUCUGUAGCAGCAAUUGUUCUUGGAAAAUGAUGCAGACAGGUUAACAACAAACAUACAUAGUUGUAAUCUAUAGAGAACAUAUUUGAAAAAAAAGUAACUUAUGCGCUCAGUAAAAGAUUUUAUUUUGUUGUUGAUUCUUUUUGUUUUUCUGAGGUCGAGAUAUUUAACUAUUAAAGCCUUUGCUGGGGCUUUGUUACAAAGUGAAUAACGAGCCAAUUGUGUUUCAAAGCUGAUAAGCUCCAUGCGGAGCCCUCUGUUUCCAGCCUACAGAAAUGCCACUAAGACUUCUUGUAUGUCUAGAGCUAAGCAAACAUCCAGUCUUAAUUAAUUAGGACUCAGCUUGGUAGCAGAAAAUUAACAAAUUUGGAAAAUUGGAAAUACUAGGUGACUACUACUGGCUAUUCAUUGUUAUUUGACCCCUUGUGUUAAGCAACAAUAAAGCUUGCAGUAGGAAGAGAUGCAUUUAUUUGUAAUCCAAAGUGAUUCCUAAGAAUGUCUUUGUUAAUGCAAGAAUCAACGGCAAUUAAUUGUGAACAAUACUGGAAAGAACACAUCAAAAUAAUAGUUCCAGAACAUUCUUUCACCUGGAAAGAAAUGUUAGCAUUUCCUUCAUCCCUAAAACUUGUCAAGCAAGAAUUAUUUUUAUGAGUAGUUCACAGUGGAAAACUAUAAA